UGGGGAAUAUUGCGCAAUGGGGGAAACCCUGACGCAGCGACGCCGCGUGUGGGAUGAAGGCCUUCGGGUUGUAAACCGCUUUUGAUUGGGAGCAAGCCUUUUGGGUGAGUGUACCUUUCGAAUAAGCGCCGGCUAACUACGUGCCAGCAGCCGCGGUAAUACGUAGGGCGCAAGCGUUAUCCGGAAUUAUUGGGCGUAAAGAGCUUGUAGGCGGUUCGUCGCGUCUGGUGUGAAAGCCCAUCGCUUAACGGUGGGUUUGCGCCGGGUACGGGCGGGCUAGAGUGCAGUAGGGGAGACUGGAAUUCCCGGUGUAACGGUGGAAUGUGUAGAUAUCGGGAAGAACACCAAUGGCGAAGGCAGGUCUCUGGGCUGUUACUGACGCUGAGAAGCGAAAGCGUGGGGAGCGAACAGG
rnacentral:rRNA from 1 species